rnacentral:rRNA from 1 species
GUCUACCUGCCCCUGAUUUAUUGAAGGGCCGCGGUAUAUUGACUGUGCAAAGGUAGCAUAAUCAUUGUCUUUUAAUUGAAGGCUAGAAUGAAUGGUUGAAUGAAGUAUUAACUGUCUCAUUUUAAUAAAAAUAAAAAUUUAAUUUUUUAGUCAAAAAGCUAAAAUAAAUUUAGAGGACGAGAAGACCCUAUAGAUCUUUAUAAUUAAAUUUAUUAAAAGAAUUUAGAAUAAUAAAAUAAUUAUUGAAUUUAAUUAUUUGGUUGGGGUGACAGGAAAAUUUAAUAAACUAUUUUUAUAUAAAAACAAUAAUAUUUGAAUAAUUGAUCCAAUAAUAUUGAUUAAAAAAUUAAGUUACCUUAGGGAUAACAGCGUAAUUUUUUUAAAGAGUUCUUAUCGAUAAAAAAGAUUGCGACCUCGAUGUUGAAUUAAAGGUUAUUUCUAGAUGCAGAAGUUUAGAGUUUAGGUCUGUUCGACCUUUGAAUCUUUACAUGAUCUGAGUUCAAACCGGA